rfam:TPA: Bos taurus chromosome 11, whole genome shotgun sequence.
UUCCUGGUGGCACAGUAGGUAAAGCACCUGCCUGUGAUGCAGGAGACCCAGGUUCGAUCCCUGGGUUGGGAA